rnacentral:rRNA from 1 species
CAGCCGCCGCGGUAAUACAGAGGUCCCGAGCGUUGUUCGGAUUCAUUGGGCGUAAAGGGUGUGUAGGAGGCCAGGUAAGUCAGGUGUGAAAUCUCAGAGCUUAACUCUGAAACUGCGCUUGAUACUGCUUGGCUAGAGGAUCGGAGGGGGUAACGGAAUUUAUGGUGUAGCAGUGAAAUGCGUAGAUAUCAUAAGGAACACCGGUGGCGAAGGCGGUUACCUGGAAGAUUCCUGACUCUGAAACACGAAAGCCAGGGGAGCAAACGGGAUUAGAUACCCCUGUAGUCCCUGUCUCUUAUAC